rnacentral:lncRNA from 1 species
UUCCGAUGAGUUGUGAGUAGUUUACCACAGACCUUUGGGUCCAUAGUUAUUAGCUAGAUGGCUUCUUCUCUCUUUUUGGAUCUCAAUACAAUAUUCUCCCCCUCUCUUGUGGAGAUCUAUUCGAUGUAAACUCUUUUUGCGGUGUGUUUGUCGAGAUCCAAUGAAUUGUGGGUUUAUGAUCAAGUUUAUCUAUGAAUAAUAUUUGAAUCUUCUCUGAAUUAAUUUAUGUAUGAUUGAGUUAUCUUUGCAAGUCUCUUCGAAUUUAUGUAUGAUUGAGUUAUCUUUCUUGCUGUCGGUGUCAAAACCGGUGGAUCUCGGGUAGGGGGUCCCGAACUGUGCGUCUAGGCGGAUGGUAACAGGAGACAAGGGACAUGAUGUUUUUACCCAGGUUUGGGCCCUCUCGAUGGAGGUAAAACCCUACUCCUGCUUGAUUAAUAUUGAUGAUAUGGGUAGUACAAGAGUAGAUCUACCAUGAGAUCGGAGUGGCUAAACCCUAGAAUCUAGCCUAUGGUAUGAUUGUUGUUCGUCCUACGUACUAAAACUCUCCGGUUUAUAUAGACACCGGAGAGGGCUAGGGUUACAUAGAGUCGGUUACAAUGGGAGGAGAUCUUCAUAUCGUAUCACCAAGCUUGCCUUCCACGCCAAGGAAAGUCCCAUCCGGGCACGGGUCGGAGUCUUCAAUCUUGUAUCUUCAUAGUCCGGGAGUCCGGCCAAAGGUCUUAGUCCGGCCAUCCGGACACCCCCUAAUCCAGGACUCCCUCAGUAGCCCCCGAACCAGGCUUAAAUGACGACGAGUCCGGCGCGCAAGUUGUCUUCGGCAUUGCAAGGCGGGUUCUCCCGCAAAUUCUCUGUAUCCGUUGACUAGUGUCCGGCUUCUAGUGCGUGCUACCCUCCUCUGCUUCUAUGCCCCAUAAUGACCAUCUUCCAUGUGUCAAACGAAUGCGAAAAGCCAGGGGAUUUUUUCAGUUACCCCCUGGUCGCGUUAAUGAACCGCCCAUAAAAGAGACGGGGAUUUAGAUCCAAUUCACACCAUCUUCCCUCUGCGAGAUUUCAUCAGAGUGCCUUCGACAAAGAUCCAUUCCACCAUGGUCGGUCGGUGCAGCUCCUCCUCUCGCCCCUCCAGCGCUCGGCCCGGAGAUUGGGGGCGGUGUUCCGUCCCGCAUAGCGAGCUAGUAGUGCUUUAGUCCAAGGGGCUUCUCCCCCCAGCAUAUAUGGUCCCAGUUCGAGCCGGGAUUGCUACCUAUAGCGACGGAGAGCAGGCGGAGAGCGUCCCCAAUCCCUCUCGAGGAGAGCGAGUAUGCCUAGUCCCUUAUUUGAUGAGAGGACUCGGAUUUCCAAUUCAUCCGUUUCUUUGAGGGUUGCUGGAGUUCUACGGCCUCGAGCUACACAACCUCACGCCCGCCUCCAUUCUGCACAUUGCGGGCUUCGUGGCCCUCUGCGAGCUGUUCUUGGGCGUUGAGGCCCAUUUCGCUCUGUGGAAGAGGUUGUUUUGCCUUGUGCCUCGUUCUCAGGAGGGGUCUAUUUAUCAAGUGGGCGGAGCCGAACUAUGGCGCAUCACCGGGACCGGAUAUCUAUCCGGCACACCAAAGAGGGUGUCCGAAGACUGGCCCUCGGAAUGGUUUUAUAUAGAUGAUGUCCCCUUGCCGGACCCAGUACGGAUCAGCCUCCCCGAGUUCCAUAAUGCCCCGUUGAAGAAGCGCCUGAGUUGGCGCCCACGGAACCCUCAGAGGGAAGCUGACAGGGACGUCCUGUACCUGAUGAGCCGGAUAAGGUUGUUGGCUCAUUCCGGACUGACCAUGAUCAAGGUCAUGGCCAUAUGCAUCAUGCGAGGGGUGCAGCCGCUUCAAUACAGAGGCCACCACAUGUGGGAUUUCAACGGGGAGGAUGAUGCUACCCGGUGCGGUCGCAAGGGGCCAGAUUCGGCCGCCACUUUAACGAGAAUCUUAUCCGCUUUGUACAAGGGGGAAGAGGAAGAAUUCCUCUGCGUCAACCCGGAAGGCGGAUUCUCUAUGUACAAUCCUCCUAGUUGGGUGAGCGGACACUUUCACUUGCCUAUCCGUUUUCGAAAUUCUCGUAGUUGAGUACUUAGACUAGUAAUGUUUAAACGCAGGACCUGCACCAGGCUGUGAAGGAAAUAAACAGCUCUGCUCCACAACCCGAGGAUCCGGAACGGUCCCUCGAUCCGGACUCCCAAGAAGAUCCGGACUUAUGCGUGGAGUUGGUUGAUGGAGUAUUUCAUCAAUUGAGCAAGGAUAACUCUUUAGUGGCCAUCACGGUCGACUAUCCCGGACUACUUCCAGCCUCCAAGGUAACUAAGACCGAAGUCCCAGUAUUCUCAUGUUUUAUCUUGCAUGCCGUGCACUAACAAUGUUUCGUAGGGUAAAUCCUUGAGGCGGAAGGCCGAGCCCACGGUGGGCAGCCAGCAAGGGCCGCUGAAACCAGGCGGGCCAAAAAGAAGUGCGGACCAAAUCGAGAUUCCGGUGCAACGAUAUGGUGUGCAGAUUUAACGCCUAGGGUCCUACUAAUGCUCAUGAUUUUCUUAGAAAGAAGAGAGCCCGCCGGACUAUGUCCGCCGGCCAAGGUUCGAGGCUGGGUCCGGAAGCGGAGGUGGACACGGGACGCGCCUCGGGCGCUCCUCCGACAGAGGGUGCCGACGGGCUAUCUGCCACUAAUUCAGAGGUGGAGAGUGCCCUAAACCACAGGCGUCGCCGGACUGUUCUCCGUGACGCAUGUUUUUCCCCAGAGGCGUUGGACGCCUUUAAUACAGGAGAUGCGUAUCUCCGUGCUGCUCAAAAUGGUCUAGCCAGAGCCAUGGAGCAGUAUGUGAAAGACAUAUAGGUGAGUAGAAUUGAAGGUUAUAUAUGUCAGUAGCUCCCAAGACUUGAAACAGUGAAGAUAACUGUUUGAAGGAUCAUGUGCUAUGCAGUGUCUUACAAAGAAGAACACGCAAUUGUCCUAGAAGCUCGAAGAGUGCAAGGCUCAGCUCGAGCCCGCAUUGGCCGCUUCAGAGAAUGUCAAGGGGAUGCCCGCAGGUAAUAUAUGCUUCGAAAGGUACCUCCGUUUUGAAAUGUGGCAGGCAACCCUGACUAUAAUAAUGCAGAUGAGGCCGGAGCAAAUCCGGACCAGCAACAACUCCUACGCCAACUAAAGGCCGGCGAGAACAUGCUGACGAGGGUGAGGCAAGAGAAGAACAAGCUUCAAGACGCCAAUACCCAGCUAGGCGAGGAACUAAAAUAUGUUCUCAUUCAGCUGUCUUCUACCGUUAAGGAGAAUCGGCGACUUCUAUGCGGCAUUUUUAGUAAGUGCUUGAACGAAUCUUCGAAAAAAGAAUUCGGCGAGGAAGUCGAUUGACAGAGCUAUGUCUGUAGGUCUGCUGACGGGGCGUCCGGCGGAGGAAAUGCCCGGUUCAUCGGGAGACCAUCUUCCUGAGUUGUUUCAACUACACGGGCGAGUUCGACAGGCAAUGCGAGGCGUCAUCCAGGCUAUGUGGCCAUCCCUCUCCGUGCACGAAGGCCUUGAGGAGCUUGCCAAGAAGCUGGAGGGAGUGCGGCAGUGCUUCCGGUUAUGGAAGAUAUCGGCUUGCCGUCAAGGUGCCAGGGAGGCCUGGGCCAUGGUGAAGACUCGGUACACAAAGGCUGACCCAAACCACAUGGCCGAGGUCGGCCCUAUAGGUCCGGACGGAAAGGAGAUCCCGGUCAGCUUGGCAUAUGGCCAGGUGGAGCUGGCUGCAAAGUAUUCCCAACAGGACUGUAAAUUAGACCGCCUGUUAGAUGGCAUUGAAGAAGAAUAUGCCGAGUCGGAUUGACUAUGUAAAAAUGACAUAAAAAUGUCCUCUAGCCGGAUUGUAGAUCGUUUAUCAUUGCGGACCUUUUAGCUUCGACCUCUGGACCCUAUAGUCCGGAGUGUGUCCGAAUACCCUCUUGGUUAUGUAAGAACCGGGGCAUGCAUGGAGACAAGGCGUAGGGGUCGUAAGUGCUUUAGAAUACAAGUGCCCAACUAGUUAUGUUAUAUUACAUCGUUAGUAAGAAACAUCUUCCAGAUAGAAUAGUUCCGUUAGGGGUUCCUUUCCCUGGGAGGCAUGCCCUAAAGUGCAUGUCCGAACUGCCAGAAAGUGCAGAAAAGCAUCUGGGGGCAAAAAAGUAAAUAUGAAAGAUCAUCUUUUAGCUCACCGACCGAAUAUUCCCUUAAGAACACUAGCUUUCGGAUUCACCCAGUCUGAGGUACACAUCCGGCUGACCCGGCAGUAACAAUCGCAGAGGUGCUCCCUUUACCACCUAGCCGAACGAACGGGAACGUAGGGGUAAGCACAGGAGCCAGGCAACCCAGCUUGGCCAAAACUUAAGUCAUAUCGAUGCAUAUAAUGGUGUAUAAAAGGUUCAUGCGGAAGCAUUACACAUGUUUUGGGCGUGAGGCCCGUUUUAUAUAAACUUCUUGGUAGAGCAGCCCCCAGGUAUUGUGAGCGCAGGUAGCGCGUCGGGUGCGUGUGAAUAUUGCAUAUGCGAGUCCCUAAGGGCUUGUGAGAAAAAGGGGGGGAGAAGGAACAAAAUCCCGGACUGCCAAAAAUAAAAACAAAAAAUAAAAAAUAAAACAAGGGGACGAGGGAAGGAGACGAACACGGAGUCCGAUGCUAGGCGUAGAACCUUCGUAGGCGUGCUGCAUUCCAUGGGUUCGGCUCGAGUCGGUUGUCCGAUGCGCCUCGCAGACGAUACGCUCCGCCGGUCAGUACUUGGUCGAUGAUGAAGGGGCCCUCCCAUUUGGGCUUUAAUUUAUCCUUUUUCUUGUCCGGCAGGCAUAGAACUAGUUCGCCAACGUUAUACAUUUUGGCCCGUACUUCUCUACUUUGAUAUCUUCGAGCCUGCCGUUGAUAGAAUGCGGAACGAGCCUUUGCCACGUCGCGCUCCCCUUCCAAUGCGUCCCAGCUGUCCUGCCGAUUGAGCUCGGCUUCUCUUUCUUCGUACAUGCGCACUCGAGGUGAGUCAUGGAUUAUGUCGCAUGGCAGUACUGCCUCUGCGCCGUAUACCAUAAAAAUGGUGUGAAUCCGGUAGUGCGAUUCGGCGUGGUCCGCAGCCCCUAGAGUACGGAGUCAAGCUCCUCUACCCAGUGCGUGUCAGAUUCCUUGAGGGAUCGCACUAGUUUGGGUUUGAUGCCGCUCAUAAUGAGAUCGUUGGCCCGUUCGACUUGACCGUUAGUUUGAGGGUGAUAGACUGAAGCGUAGUCGAGCUUGAUGCCCAUGUUUUUGCACCAAAGUUUGACUUCAUCGGCCGUGAAGUUUGUGCCGUUGUCAGUUAUGAUGCUGUGGGGGACACCAUAACGGUGUACAACCCCGGAAAGGAAGUCUAUCACUGGUCCGGAUUCGGCCGUCUUUACAGGCUUGGCUUCUAUCCAUUUGGUGAAUUUGUCCACCAUGACCAGUAGGUAUUUUUGCUUGUGGGUUCCUCCUUUAAGGGGUCCGACCAUGUCAAGCCCCCAGACCGUGAAAGGUCAGGUAAUGGGUAUAGUUUGUAGGGCGGUAGGCGGCAUGUGACUUUGGUUGGCGAAUAACUGGCAACCAACACAUCAUUGCACUAAGUCAUGAACGUCUGCCCGGGCCGCUGGCCAAUAAAAUCCGGUAUGGAAGGCCUUGCUUACAAGGGCCCGGGCUGUGGCGUGGUGCCCGCCAAGUCCGGCAUGGAUUUCAGCCAAAAGGUCUUGUCCUUCUUCUUCGGAGAUACACCUUUGAAGGACUCCGGUUGUGCUUUUCUUGUAAAGCUCUCCCUCGUGGACUUUGUAGGCUUUAGAUCGCCGCACUAUGCAGCGGGCCUCGUUUUGGUCCUCGGGAAGUUCCUGCCUAGUUAGGUAGGCUAGGAAUGGCUCUAUCCAAGGGGCAAUGACUGCCAUUAUUUCUUGGGCUGACGGCGUUGUUUCGUUGGCGUAGCCCCCAAUUGUGUCAGGAUGCUCGGUGAGGGGCAGUGUAGUUGUGUCCGGGCUAUUGUUUCCGAUUCUCCGUCCCAUGAUACAGAUGGCUUGAAUAGCCUUUCUAGGAAGAUGUUGGGAGCGACGGCCUCGCGCUUGGCGCCGAUGCGUGCCAGCACGUCUGCUGCUUGGUUAUUUUCCCGGGCUAUGUGAUGAAAUUCGAGCCCCUCAAACUGAGCUGACAUCUUUAAGAUGGCGUUGCGGUAAGCUGCCAUUUUCGGGUCCUUGGCGUCGAAGUCUCCAUUUAUUUGGGAUAUUGCGAGAUUUGAAUCCCCGCGGACCUCUAGGCGCUGAAUGCCCAUGGAGACUGCCAUUCGGAGGCCAUGUAAAAGGGCCUCGUAUUCGGCUGCGUUGUUCGAAUCCGUGUACAUUAUCUGAAGUACGUAUUGGACUAUGUCCCCGGUUAGGGACGUCAGGACGACGCCAGCCCCCAGGCCAGCCAACAUUUUGGAGCCGUCGAAGUGCAUGACCCAGUUGGAGUAUGCGCCGUAUUCUUUAGGGAGUUCGGCUUCAGUCCAUUCGGCAAUGAAGUCGGCCAAAACCUGCGACUUAAUAGCUCGCCAUGGCUUGCAGGUUAUGUCGAACGGGAGGAGCUCGAUGGCCCAUUUGGCAAUCUGGCCCAUUGCGUCGCGGUUGUUUAUAAUGUCAUUAAGGGGUACUUCUGAUGCCACUGUUAUGGAGCACUCUUGAAAGUAGUGUCGCAGCUUCCGGGAUGCCAUGAACACCGCGUAUGCUAUCUUUUGAUAAUGCGGGUACCGUGACUUGCAUGGAGUUAGCACAGUGGACACGUAGUACACUGGUUUUUGGAGGGGGCACUUGUGUCCGUCCGCUUCUCAUUCGACGACGAGCACCGCGCUGACAACUUGAUGGGUUGCCGCGAUGUAUAAUAGCAUUGGUUCGCCCGUGUUGGGCGCGGCCAGGACCGGAUUUGUUGCCAAUAUGGCUUUUAUUUCUUCGAGUCCGGCCGUGGCGGCCUCCGUCCACUCAAAAUGGUCGGUGCACCGUAGGAGGCGAUAGAGGGGUAAUGCCUUUUCUCCUAAGCGGGAGAUAAAGUGGCUUAGAGCCGCCACGCAUCCUGUCAGUUUUUGUAUUUGUUUGAGGUCCUUUGGGGUAUCUAAUUGUGACAGAGCUCGGAUCUUGGCUGGGUUUGCUUCAAUUCCUCUACCAGAUACGAUGAAGCCCAGGAGCUUUCCGGCUGGUACGCCGAAAACGCAUUUUUUCGGGUUGAACUUAAUGUCAUAUGUUCGGAGAUUGUCGAACGUGAGCCUCAAGUCGUCUACUAGAGUAUCAACGUGUUUUGUUUUGACGACCAUGUUGUCUACAUAUGCUUCGACUGUUUUGCCGAUCUGGUUGGCCAGACAUGUCUGAAUCAUGCGCUGAUAUGUUGCGCCGGCGUUUUUGAGCCCGAAGGGCAUCGUGUUGAAGCAGAAUGGGCCGUACGGGGUGAUGAAUGCUGUUGCGGCCUAGUCUGACUCUGCCAUCUUGAUUUGAUGGUAGCCAGAGUAUGCAUCGAGGAAACACAAUGAGUCGUGUCCUACAGUGGCGUCGAUGAUUUGAUCGAUUCGAGGGAGUGGGAAAGGGUCCUUUGGACAGGCCUUGUUUAGGUCUUUGAAAUCGACACAUAGGUGCCAAGAUUUGUCCUUCUUUGGUACCAUCACCAGGUUUGCUAGCCAGUCCGGAUGUUUUAUGUCUCUGAUGAACCCGGCUUCCAACAGUUUUGCUAGCUCCUCUCCCAUGGCUUGUCUCUUAGGUUCGGAAAAGCACCCCAGGGUCUGCUUGACGGGUUUAAACCCUUUUAUGAUGUUCAGGCUGUGCUCGGCCAGCCUGCGUGGGAUUCCUGGCAUAUCCGAGGGGUGCCAUGCGAAAAUGUCCCAAUUUUCUCGCAGAAAUUCUCUGAGUGCGGCGUCUACAUCGGGUUUUAAUCGUGCCCCGAUGGAGGCCGUUUUUGUAGGGUCCGUUGGAUGGACUUGGAAUUUGACUAUUUCGUCCGCCGGUUUAAAAGAGGUGGACUUGGAUCUCUUGUCUAGUAUCACGUCGUCCCUGUCCACCGUGGAGCGCAACGCCGUUAACUCCUCGGCCACUAGGGCCUCAGAUAAUGCCUCCAGGGCCAGUGCGGCUGUCUUGUUUUCAGCACGGAGCGCUAUGUCCGGAUCACUUGCGAGAGUGAUUAUUCCAUUGGGCCCGGGCGGGCUUGGAAAAUUGUAAAUGCUUCUCGCCCUAGCAAAGCGUGGUAGCCGCUGCUGAACGGGGCCACUUGAAACGUGACCUCCUCGGAUCUGUAAUUGUCCGGCGUGCCGAACACCACAUCCAGUGUGAUUUUUCCUGAACAGCAUGCUUCCCGGCUUGGGAUUAUUCCCCUAAAAGUUGUGUUGCUUCGCUCAAUGCGGCUCCAGUCAAUUUCCAUUUUUCACAGGGUUUCCUCAUAGAUGAGGUUGAGUCCGCUGCCGCCGUCCAUGAGUACCUUUGUAAUUCGGAAGCCAUCGACUAUCAGACUGAGGACCAAUGCGGCUGGUGCUCGGGCUGUCCGGAAUUUAGGUUCAUCACUGGCGUUAAAGGUGAUAGCCGUGUCACUCCAUGGGUUUAUUGUUGCUACUUGGUAGACUUCGGCGAGGUUGUGGAGCGUUCGUUUCCUUGCAUUAUUUGAUGUGAACGUCUCGAAGACUGUCGACACCGUACUGGGGAGGUAUUCUUCAGGUGCUGGAGUUAAAAGCUCCUCGCCGCUUCUGGCUAUCUGCCGUAGUAUCCAACAUGCUCUGAGGCUGUGCGUUGGUGUGGCUUUCCCUAAAUUAUGAAUUCUACAGGGUCCAUUGAGCCAUCCUUCCAAUACGGUCCCGUACCCUGUAGAGGGUUUUUGUUUUUUGAUGUUUGGCUCAGAUGCCUGGCGAUAAUGCGCCCUUUUGUUUCGGACUUGUGUUAUAUUCGGGGCCGGAUUGUCCCAGAAUUUAUCUUCGGUUUUCCGAACGCUUUCAAUCACGCAGUACUUUCGUACUAUGGAUGUCAAGUCGGCGAAUCGUGUAAUUUCGCGACGACUUAUGGCGUUGAGGAUUCCGAUGUCCGUGCAGUUGUUAAGGAAGAGUGAAAUUGCUUCUCUCUCGCGGCAGUCCUUUAUCAUGUUCAUAACCAGGAGGAAUCUGGCCCAGUAGUGGUGUACUAUUUCUCCGAACUCUUGCCGUAUUAGGGAUAAAUCCCGUAUAGUUGGGUGGGCGGGUGGAAAUAAAUCCGGAACCCUGCCCGAUGUAAGAUUCAGGGGCCGAGCGGUUUCCGAAUUAGGAAGCUUGCUUUCUCGGGUAUUAUUCAAUGAAUCGGGCCUACUGCCUGACGUUAGGUUCAGGGUUCGGGCGACAUCCUCCCCUUCGCGGGUUUCCGGCUUGGAGGGAUCGGUAAUCCGGACGCAUCUGGUCCUUAGGGCGGGCGAAGACUCGCCGCAUUGUUCUUCCACCACUUCAACGUGGUGGGUGAUCUGGGGAGAGUCGAUCUCUCUCUGAUCAGGUUUAAGCCCAAUCUGGUCGUAAUCAGUAGCGACUCCCAGGGCCGCGAUGCGAUCCAGGAGUUCGUUCAGGGAGAAGAGCUCCAUCGGAUCUAACUGCUCGGCGAGCUCCGAGCUGAUGUGAAGAUUGCUUUCGAUGGUCCGAGAGGUCAUCGUUGGCGCGGCGGCCGGACUGGCGGUCACCAAAAACCUGCCUAGCCGGAGAGUUUGGCCGACAGCCAAAACUCCUUUAGCAACGAUGCCGUCUUUAAAGGCAGGAUGCGGCAUCCUUCCUGAUGGUGACGACACAGCGGAACUCUCAAUGAAAGCACCAAUGUCGGUGUCAAAACCGAAGGAUCUCGGGUAGGGGGUCCCGAACUGUGCGUCUAGGCGGAUGGUAACAGGAGACAAGGGACACGAUGUUUUUACCUAGGUUCGGGCCCUCUCGAUGGAGGUAAAACCCUACUCCUGCUUGAUUAAUACUGAUGAUAUGGGCAGUACAAGAGUAGAUCUACCACGAGAUCGGAGUGGCUAAACCCUAGAAUCUAGCCUAUGGUAUGAUUGUUGUUCGUCCUACGGACUAAAACUCUCCGGUUUAUAUAGACACCGGAGAGGGCUAGGGUUACACAGAGUCGGUUACAAUGGGAGGAGAUCUUCAUAUCGUAUCGCCAAGCUUGCCUUCCACGCCAACGAAAGUCCCAUCCAGACACGGGACGGAGCCUUCAAUCUUGUAUCUUCAUAGUCUGGGAGUCCGGCCAAAGGUCUUAGUUCGGCCAUCCGGACACCCCCUAAUCCAGGACUCCCUCACUUGCCAUGGGAGAAGUGCUUAGCUUUGGGUUCAAUCUUGCGGUGUUCUUACCCAGUGAUAGAAAGGGUUGCAAGACACAUAUUGAAUUGUUGCCAUCGAGGAUAAAAAGAUGGGGUUUAUAUCAUAUUGCAUGAAUUUAUCCCUCUACAUCAUGUCAUCUUGCUUAAUGCGUUACUCUGUUCUUUAUGAACUUAAUACUCUAGAUGCAGGCAGGAGUCGGUCGAUGUGUGGAGUAAUAGUAGUAGAUGCAGGCAGGAGUCGGUCUACUUGUUGCAGACGUGAUGCCUAUAUACAUGAUCAUGCCUAGAUAAUCUCAUAACUAUUCGCUUUUCUAUCAAUUGCUCGACAGUAAUUUGUUCACCCACCGUAAUACUUAUGCUAUCUUGAGAGAAGCCUCUAGUGAAACCUAUGGCCCCCGGGUUUAUCUUUUAUCAUAUUUGCUUCCAAUCUACUUUUAUUUGCAUCUUUAAUUUCUGCAUCUAUAUUACAAAAUACCAAAAAUAUAUUUAUCUUAUCAUACUAUCUCUAUUAGAUCUCACUUUCGCAAGUGGCCGUGAAGGGAUUGACAACCCCUUUAUUGCAUUGGUUGCGAUUUCUUUGUUUGUUUGUGUAUGUGUGUGGGACUUUUGAGGAGCCUCCUACUGGAUUGAUACCUUGGUUCUCAAAAACUGAGGGAAAUACUUACCUACUAUUGCUGCAUCACCCUUUCCUCUUCAAGGAAAACCAACGCAAGCUCAAGAUGUAGCACAAGGCACAUAUUGUAUUGUUGCCAUCGAGGAUAAAAAGAUGGGGUUUAUAUCAUAUUGCAUGAAUUUAUCCCUCUACACCAUGUCAUCUCGCUUAAUGCGUUACUCUGUUCUUUAUGAACUUAAUAUUCUAGAUGCAGACAGGAGUCGGUCAAUGCGUGGAGUAAUAGUAGUAGAUGCAGGCAGGAGUUGGUCUACUUGUCACGGACGUGAUGCCUAUAUACAUGAUCAUGCCUAGAUAAUCUCAUAACUAUUCGCUUUUCUAUCAAUUGCUCGACAGUAAUUUGUUCACCCAUCGUAAUACUUAUGCAAUCUUCAGAGAAGCCUCUAGUGAAACCUAUGGCCCCUGGGUCUAUCCUUUAUCAUAUUUGCUUCCAAUCUACUUUUAUUUGCAUCUUUACUUUCUGCAUCUAUAUUAUAAAACACCAAAAAUAUAUUUAUCUUAUCAUACUAUCUCUAUUAGAUCUCACUUUCGCAAGUGGCCGUGAAGGGAUUGACAACCCCUUUAUUGUGUUGGUUGCGAGUUCUUGUUUGUUUAUGUAGGUGCGUGGGACUUGUGAGGAGCCUCCUACUGGAUUGAUACCUUGGUUCUCAAAACUGAGGGAAAUACUUAUGCUACUAUUGCUGCAUCACCCUUUCCUCUUCAAGGAAAACCAACGCAAGCUCAAGACAUAGCAAGAAGGAUUUCUGGCGCCGUUGCCGGGGAGGGCUUCGCUCAAGUCAAGACAUACCAAGUACUCAUCACAAAAUCAUCUCCCUCGCAUUACAUUAUUUGUCAUUUGCCUCUCGUUUUCCUCUCCCCCACUUCACCCUUGCCGUUUUAUUCACCCUCUCUUUCCCAAUCUCUUCUCUCUUUCGCUUGCCUUUUUGUUUGCUCGUGUGUUAGAUUGUUUAUCUCAUAGCCAUGGCUAGUCCUCCUAUUACCGUUAAUACUCCUAAUCAUGAAGUUCUCAAUUUUAAACAAAGGGAGGGAGAAAAUUUAAAGGAUGCUUGGCAUAGAAUUUGCAAUGCUCAAAAUAGAUCUACUAGGAAGCAAUCUACUUCCGUCCUUCUUCGCAAUUUUUAUGUAGGCAUUACUCCUUGGAAUAGAUGUAUUCUUGAUGCCAUUACCAGAGGGAAUUUCUUGGGUAGCCACACUUUUGAUGACUAUAAUUCUAUGUUAGAUUUGUUUGGUCCACCACCUCUCUUGGUUAAUGGAACUAUCUUAACUUUAGAACAUGUGAUGCAAAGGCUUGAAAUUAUUGAAAAUAAAGUUGCUACUGUUGAGUUAAUUGAAAACUUGGAUAAAAAGAUCCACAAUCAAAUCACCCAAUUUGGAUCUAAGGUUGGAGCUACUCUGAAAUUUUUGAAGGCUAAAGAACCUAUAGUUAACGAAAGAAUAGAUCAAAAUUCUUCAAGAAUCGGUAAACUUGAGGAUAUCAUUACCAACUUAGGGGCUACCUUAUCAUCCGUGAAAAAUACUUCCACUCCGCCUACUAAAAUGGCCAAAUUAAUGUAUGUUCCUAAAAAUAAGGGUGAAUCUUCUAGUAAGGAAAACGCGGAUCUCAAAUCAAGAAGUGUUCACCCUAAUUGUCUCUCUAUCGUAAAGGAACCUUUUGCUACAAAAGAACUUCUUGAUUUCUUGCCUAGGAGUUUAAUCAUUGCUAAAAUGAAAGAAACCCCUAAGGAUUAUAAGUGCUCUAUUGAAGAAUUGAAUGCCAAAGAUGGCACCACUUAGAUCUAUCCUCGCUUUUAUGCCUAGCUAGGGGCGUUAAACGAUAGCGCUAGUUGGGAGGCAACCCAAUUUUACUUUUGUUUUUUGUUUUUGCUUCUGUUUAGUAAUGAAUUUUGCACCUACAUUCUAUUUAGAUGUUUUUUCAUGUUUUAAUUAGUGUUUGUGCCAAGUAGAACCUAUAGGAUAACCUAUGGUGAUAGUUAAUUUGAUUCUACUGAAAGACAGAAACUUUGCGCGCAUGAAAAUAAUUUUAGUAAUUUACAGAAACGUGCUAUUGCGUUCAUUCUUUUUUCUGUAGAUCAAUAGAAACAUUUCCCAGGACUUCCUAUUUUGGUAGGAAUUUUAGAUUUCCAGAAGUAUUCGGGAGUUAUAGAUUUCUACAGACUGUUCUGUUUUUGACAGAUUCUGGUUUUUGUGUGUUGUUUGCUUAUUUUGAUGCAUCUAUGGCUAGUAUGUAGGGGUAUGAACCAUAGAGAAGUUGGAAUACAGUAGGUUUAACACCAAUAUAAAUAAAGAAUGAGUUCGUUACAGUACCUUAUGUGGUGGUUUUUCUUUCUUGCACUAACGGAGCUUAUGAGAUUUCCUGUUGAGUUUUGUGUCGUGAAGUUUUCAAGUUUUGGGUAAAGAUUUGGACUAUGGAAUAAGGAAUGGCAAAAGCCUAAGCUUGGGGAUGCCCAUGACACCCCAAGAUAUUCAAGGAUAACUAAAAUCCUAAGCUUGGGGAUGCCCCGGAACGCAUCCCCUCUUUCGUCUUCGUCUAUCGGUAACUUUACUUGGAGCUAUAUUUUUAUUCGCCACAUGAUAUGUGUUUUUCUUGGAGCGUAUUGUAUGAUAUUAGUAUUUGAUUCUUAGUUUACCACAAUCAUCCUUUCUGUACACACCUUUUGGGAGAAACCCACUUGAUUGUAAUUUAUUAGAAUACUCUAUGUGCUUCACUUAUAUCUUUUGAGCUAGAUAGUUUGCUCUAUAUGCUUCACUUAUAUUUUUUAGAGCACGGCGGUGGCUUUAUUUUAAAUGAAUUUUUGAUCUCUCAUGCUUCACUUAUAUCAUUUUGAGAGUUCUUUAGAACAGCAUUGUAUUUGCAAUGGUUAUAAAUUUGGUCCUAGAAUGAUGAGCAUCCAAGUUGGGUAUAAUAAAAACUAUCAUAGAAAGUGCAUUAAAAACUAUGAUCAAUUUGAUGCUUGAUGAUUGUUUUGAGAUAUAAAGGUGGUAAUGCUAGAGUCAUGCUAGUUGGAUAAUAAUGAAAUUGAGAAAUACUUGUGUUGAAGUUGGCAAGUCCCGUAGCAUGCACGUAUGGUAAAAGUUGUGUGACAAAUUUGUUGCAUGAGGUGCUCUUUUGAUUGUCUUCCUUAUGAGUGGUAGUCGGGGACAAGCGAUGGUCUUUUCCUACCAAUCUAUCCCUCUAGGGGCAUGCAUAGUAGUACUUUGCUUCGAGGGCUAAUAAACUUUUGCAAUAAGUAUAUGAGUUAUUUAUGACUAAUGUGAGUCCAUGUAUAUACGCACACUUACCCUUCCACUUUGCUAGCCUUUAUUAUGCCGCGCAACUUUCGCCGGUAUCUUGCACCCAUUAUCUACCUUCCUCAAAACAGCCACCAUACCAACCUACUAUGGCAUUUCCAUAGCCAUUCCGAGAUAUAUUGCCAUGCAACUUUCGACCGUUCUGUUUAUUAUGACACACUCCAUCAUUGUCAUAUUCCUCUUUGCAUGAUCAUGUAGUUGACAUCGUCUUUGUGGCAAGGCCACCUUCAUAAUUUUUCAUACAUGUCACUCUUGAUUCAUUGCAUAUCCCGGUACACCGCCGGAGGCAUUCACAUAGAGUCAUAUUUUGUUCUAAGUAUUGAGUUGUAAUUCUUGACUUGUAAAUCAAUAAAAGUGUGAUGAUCUUCAUUAUUAGAGCAUUGUCCCAAGUGAGGAAAGGAUGAUGAAGACUAUGAUUCCCCCACAAGUUGGGAUGAGACUUCGAACUUUAUAAAAAUAAAAGAGGCCAAAGAAGCCCAUAGAAAAGAGAGGCCAAAGAAGCCCACCAAAUAAAAAUAAUGAAAAGAGAAAAAAGAGAGAAGGGACAAUGCUACUAUCUCUUUUCCACACUUGUGCUUCAAAGUAGCACCAUGAUCUUCAUGAUAGAGAGUCUCAUAUGUUAUCACUUUCAUAUACUAGUGGGAAUUUUUCAUUAUUGAACUUGGCUUGUAUAUUCCAAUGAUGGGCUUCCGCCAAAACGCCCUAGGUCUUCAUGAGCAAGCAAGUUAGAUGCACACCCACUUAGUUUCUUUUGUUGAGCUUUCAUAUAUUUAUAGCUCUAGUGCAUCUGUUGCAUGGCAAUCCCUACUCAAUCACAUUGAUAUCUAUUAAUGGGCAUCUCCAUAGCCCGUUGAUACGCCUAGUUGAUGUGAGACUAUCUUCUCCCUUUUUGUCUUCACAACCACCACCAUAUACCACCAUAGUGCUAUGUCCAUGGCUUGCGCUCAUGUAUUGCGUAAGAGUUGAAAAGGCUGAAGCGCGUUAAACAGUAUGAACCAAUUGCUCGGCUCGUCAUCGGGGUUGUGCAUGAUGGGAGUAUUUUGUGUAAUGAAAAUGAAGCAUGGCCUAACUAUAUGAUUUUGUAGGGACAAGCUUUCUUUGGCUAUGCUAUUUUGAUAAGACAUGAUUAUUUGUUAGUAUGCUUCAAGUAUUAUUAUUUUUAUGUUUUAUAAGCUUUUAUCUUGAAUCAUUUGGAUCUGAGCAAUCAUGCCACAAUAAAGAAAAUUAAUUGAGAAUUAUGCUAGGUAGCAUUCCACAUCAAAAAUUCUGUUUUUAUCAUUUACCUACUCGAGGACGAGCAAGAAUUAAGCUUGGGGAUGCUUGAUAUGUCUCCAACGUAUCUAUAAUUUUUUAUUGUUCCAUGCUAUUAUAUUACCCGUUUUGGACAUUUAUGGGCUUUACUUUACAAUUUUAUAUCAUUUUGGGAUUAACCUACUAACCGGAGGCCCAGCCCGAAUUGCUGUUUUUUUGGCCUAUUUCAGUGUUUCGAAGAAAAGGAAUAUCAAACGGAGUCCAAAGGGAAUGCAACCUUCAGGAGCGAUCUUUUUGGAACAAACAUGAUCUAGAGGACUUGGAGUGGAAGUCUAGAAAUAAGCGAGGUGGCGACGAGGGUGCCCGGCGUGCCCCCUAUAGGUGGGUGCGCCCCCACCCUCAUGGGCCCCUCAAGCAUCAAAGGGUGUCUCGUGGGCCCCUCGGGCGGCCACCGACCUACUUCUUCCUCCUACAUAUACCCAUGUACCCCAAAAACAUCAAAGGCGACCACGAAAAACUAUUUCCAGCGCUGUAACCUUCUGUAUCCGCGAGAUCCCAUCUUGGAGCCUUCGUCGGUGCUCCGCCGGAGGGGGAAUCAAUCACGGAGGGCCUCUACAUCAUCUCCAAGGCCUCUCCCAUGAGUUGUGAGUAGUUUACCACAGACCUUCGGGUCCAUAUUAUUAGCUAGAUGGCUUCUUCUCUCUCUUUGAAUCUCAAUGCAAAGUUCUGCUUGAUCUUCUUGGAGAUCUAUUCGAUGUAACUCUUUUUGCAGUGUGUUUGUCGAGAUCCGAUGAAUUGUGGGUUUAUGAUCAAGUUUAUCUAUGAGAAAUAUUUGAA